GCGCGCGCCCGCCCCGGUGUGUCACCACCGCGGGUCACCUGGGAGUCCUGUGAGUGCACCGCCGGGGUCACCUGGGAGCCCCGCGUGUCACCGCCGCGGUCGUCGGGGAGCCCCGGGGCUCACCAACGAGGUCACCUGGGAGCCCCGCGGGUCACCGCCGCGGUCACCUGGAAGUGUCACCUGUGUCACUAGGUCACCUAGUGUAUCACACAGGUCACCUAGAAAUUCGUGUCACCGCCAAGGUCACCUAGAAAUUCGUGUCACCGCCGAGGUCCCCUGGGAGCCCCGCGGGUGCCGCACAAGUGCCCCCGCCCUUCCCCCCGGUUCCGGGUCUCCACGCCCUCCUGGUUUGCGGGCAGCCGCGAAGCCGCGAGUGGACCGAGCGAGUGCAGCUGCCUCCGCGGGGCCGCGCCUGGCCGCCGCCUCCCUUUACCUCCGGCCGCCCCGUGGCAGGUGUAGAAGCUGCAGAGGCCGCAGCAGCCCAGCGCGCCCCUUCCGUGUGGCCGCAUGCCACCCGCGCCGCGCCCAGCAUCCGGCAACAAUGCACCAGCAUUCCAGCGUCCAACAGAGCAUCCGUGUACCAUUCCGGCAUUUGGCAACAAUGCACCAGCAUUCCAGAGUCCAACAGGGCAUGCGUGCACCAUUCCAGCAUCCGGCAACAAUGCACCAGCAUUCCAGCGUCCAACAGAGCGUGCGUGCACCAUUCCAGCAUCCGGCAACAAUGCACCAGCAUUCCAGCGUCCAAAAGAGCAUCCGGCAACAUCCCGGUGUCCAGUGGCACAUGUGCACCUGGACGUUCCAGUGUGGUGAGCUUUCAGGCACGGAGCAAGGCCAAAGGGAUAAAAAGAUGAAGGUGACGCAGUACUCCCCCUUAUAGUGCCU
rnacentral:lncRNA from 1 species